rnacentral:rRNA from 1 species
UACGUAGGCAGCGAGCGUUGUUCGGAAUUACUGGGCGUAAAGAGUGUGUAGGCGGUGCUCUAAGUUCGGUGUGAAAUCUCCUGCUUAACUGGGAGGGUGCGCCGGAAACUGGAGUGCUUGAGCGUGGGAGAGGAAAGCGGAAUUCCUGGUGUAGCGGUGAAAUGCGUAGAUAUCUGGAGGAACACCGGUGGCGAAGGCGGCCAACUGGACGAACACUGACGCUGAGACUCGAAAGCGUGGGGAGCAAACAGG